rnacentral:lncRNA from 1 species
GGACUUGAAAAGUUAUAAUCAUAUCCCAAAUCUUGUUUAAGUCAUAUUUUAUAAAAAAGUUCUUCUUCCUUCUUGCUUCAAAGUUCACCUUUACUAUGAGCUACUCUUUCUCUAAGGAUAUCCAUAUUAAUACUUUGUAAAUACAACUUCAAGGAGAAAUUAUGGGUUCGAUAAUAAUUCUAGUUAUAUUUCCUUUCACUUGAAAGCAAAAAAGCUUCUGAGAAAUUUUGUUGUUCUCCUAAAUUUCGUGUACGAGGGCUUCGUGGUAGUAAUGGGAGUUAACGUCUUCAAUUUUACCUUCUGAUUUUGUUUUUUUAAACAAAAUCCUCCUAUAUUUUGGGUUACUUAAUAGAUAAAGCUAUUGUUUUUUUUUUUUGCACAAAAUGUUCUUCAACAAUUUAGUCACCAAUAUAUGAAUAUUUGAACAAUUAUGAUCCAUUUAACCUUCACUAAUCCAAGAGAAGACCACUUUGGCUUCAAGUUAUCAACUAAUAUUUACAUUUUAUGUGUGUGACCUUUCAUGAAACACAAAUCUUUAUUUAUUAAAUGUUCAUGAAUAGGACAAGGACAAAUUUAUAGAUCAUAAGAAAAUGAAAGGAUCUAAAAAUGUAACAAAUUUUUUCUAGGAAAAAUAAUAUUUUGAGGAAUUAUAACAACUAGAAAAAUUUUGUGUUAAUUUUCUCAAAAUUUUCUAUUCAACACUGUGAUGUGAAUGCGUAGCAACAAAAACAUACAUGCAAUACACAAAGAGGAACUGAUGGACGUGAAAGUGAUUUCAAGUUAUUGCAACAAAACGCACAUUCAACACGGAGAGGUAUCCUUAAGUGUGAAUGCGAUGUGAAUAUAUUGAAGCAAAAUACACCUGCAACACAUAGAGGUAUUUUGAGUGUGAAUAUGAUGGGAACACCUCACAUAGAGGUGUUACGAGUGUGUGACUUUAUUGCAAUGUGUUGUAUCAAAUUAGCUGUUGGAAAAUUUCAGGGCACAGUUUUUUGAGCUUUAGAUGCUCAUAUUUGAAAUCCUCUUUGUGUCAAGUGGUUCUUUCCUACUUUGUUUCUAUAAACACAUUCUUUUUUCAUUGUUUUCAACAACUUUCGGAAUAUCUAUGUUGGAAAUCAAAGAAAAGUUCUUUACUUUCUUCUUGAGUCUUCAUUAGAUCAUAAAAUUAUCUUUCUUUUAUAAUCUAGAGAAUAAGUCUAAAAUCUCUUUUGUCUAUUCUCGAGUUUUGUAAAAGAGGUUAAAAGAAACCUUUUAGGGAGGUUAUGUAUUGGGAAAACAAAAAAGUAUGUGAGCUAAACACUAAAUUAUUGAGCUUUCUGUUAAAUCUUGAAUUGUUAGCUUGAGAUGGAGGUUGUAAACACUAGUGGUUUUUGAACCUCAAU